GGCUGCGCUGCACCGUGGGGGCGUGGAUGGAGAUGGACAAAGGGAACCCCCCCCCGGAACUGCAGGUGCUGGUGCUGCGGCGCGGCUGGGACACGGCGCUCCAGGCCCUGAACGUCACCAUGAGAACCGGCACCGACACGGCACCGUGACAACACCGGCACCGCCAACAACACCGACACCAACACCGGCACCGGGACCAACAACACCGACACCAACACCAACACCGGCACCGGCAACACCAACACCGACACCAACACCGGCACCGACACCAACACCGGCACCGGCAACACCGACACCAACAACACUGACACUGGGACCAACACCAACAGCACCGACACCAGCACUGGUACCAACAACACCAACAACACCGGCACCGGCACCAAAACCAACACUGACACCAAGACUGGCACCGGCAACAACACCAACACCACCGAUACCAGCAACACCGACACCGACAACACCGGAACCAACACCAACAACACUGAUACCAACAAUACCAACACCAGAACCAACACCGGAACCAACACCAACAACACUGAUACCAACAAUA
rnacentral:lncRNA from 1 species